GACGAACGCUGGCGGCGUGCCUAACACAUGCAAGUCGAACGGAGUUCUUACGAAUUGAAGCUUCGGCAGAUUUUUGAUUGAACUUAGUGGCGGACGGGUGAGUAACGCGUGGGGAACCUGCCUCUCAGAGGGGGACAACAGUUGGAAACGACUGCUACUACCGCAUAAUGCCGCGAGAUCGCAUGACUUUGCUGCCAAAGAUUUUAUCGCUGAGAGAUGGCCUCGCGUCUGAUUAGAUAGUUGGUGAGGUAACGGCCCACCAAGUCUGCGAUCAGUAGCCGGACUGAGAGGUUGAACGGCCACAUUGGGACUGAGACACGGCCCAGACUCCUACGGGAGGCAGCAGUGGGGAAUAUUGCGCAAUGGGGGCAACCCUGACGCAGCAACGCCGCGUGAAGGAAGAAGGUCUUCGGAUUGUAAACUUUUGUCUUUAGGGAAGAUAAUGACGGUACCUAAGGAGGAAGCUCCGGCUAACUACGUGCCAGCAGCCGCGGUAACAC
rnacentral:rRNA from 1 species